AAGAGCCGGAUGCCUUAAUAGGGCACGUCCGGUUCCGUGAGGGGGGCUAGAUCGUGAGGUCUGCCUCUACUCGA
rnacentral:misc_RNA from 1 species